ACUUUCUUUUGUUUCUAUGACUUUUGUGGGAGUACUUUAUGCACAGAAACUGUUCAUGGCUCAGCCAACCCAUUCAUCUCUUUCGGAUGGAACAGUCCUGGCUUGGUAAAUCUUUGUUUAGGAAGCCAGAAGCCAGUGCCAAGUCUACACUCCCCUUUGAUGCUUCAACCCUGCAAACAAAUUUUACCAGUGAGAAUUUACUGAAGAAGACCAGCGCUCCUCAAAUACGUGCACUUGAGAGUAAAAUCCAGUUGAAGAUGGCUCCAUCAGCUACAAAAGCAACACCUGUUAGAACAACGCCUCAGGAAGCCCCUCAAAUGGAAAAGGAAACGAGGCCAUUGCCAAGCCUACCAAUGUCAUCAUGCAGCCCUGCUGAGCCACCUUGGCUUUCUCUGGCCAGGAAAAAGGCCAAAGCAUGGAGUGAAAUGCCUCAGAUUGUUCAGUAGCCAUUCAGAAGACCUUGUCUACACUGCCAAUAGCUGCAUUAAUAUAGCAUAUACUAAUGUCUUCACUGUGAUCAUUUACUGAGGGUUUGGAGGGAUGAUGGGAAGCACUGGUGAAUUGGGGGUGGGUAAUUUCUACCACACAUUUAACACGAGGGUAACCAUUGGAAUUAUUAAUACACUGGGUGCUUUUCACUGUAAGACAGUAAUUGCUCCAGGAAUCUUUGGCCAUAUGUUACAGUGUCAGUGUUAAGGUCAAAGACUCUGCUGAGAAGGACCUUGAAGGUUAUUACACAUUUCCCAUUAAAAAAGGCAACUUAUCCUACACCUGAGACACAGUAUUCCUGCACUGGAUGGAAAAUAUUGUGCUGGUAUUUCUGGCUUUUCUGUUUUCUGCCAAAAAAACUGAAACUCUAAGCAGGCCCUGGAUUGUCAGUGGCUGAAGGUGAGGCUACAAAGAUGGUGGCUGUGUUCUGUUCUUCAAAUGGUGAACUUAGUUUUCUAAGAGCAAGUGCAACACCAGUGCCUGCUUUGAUAGUAACCCAAGACAUCUCUCACACACAGACUUCCUAUUGUAUGGGAGAUAUGGCUGUGCAAGGAGAGGGAUUGUACCGAUUUUCCAGAUGUUUAGAGUCAUUCCAAAGUACUUGUUGCUCAAUGGAAGAGGUACCCAAUGUGGUGCUCUCAAGAUGCUGGACUACAACUCAAUCCGCCCUGGCAAGUGGGACCAUUGGUAAAGGGUGAUGGAAUUUGUAGUCCUAGCAUCAUCUGGAGGUCAUCACAUUGACUGCCCUUGUGUGGAGACCCAAUGG